rnacentral:rRNA from 1 species
AUUGAACGCUGGCGGCAGGCCUAACACAUGCAAGUCGAGCGGAGCGGCGGACGGGUGAGUAAUGCCUAGGCAUCUGCCUGGUAGUGGGGGAUAACGUCCGGAAACGGGCGCUAAUACCGCAUACUCUCAGAUGAGCCUAGGUCGGAUUAGCUAGUUGGUGGGGUAAAGGCCUACCAAGGCGACGAUCCGUAACUGGUCUGAGAGGACGGUCAGUCAAACUGGACCUAGGACAAGGUCCAGACUCCUACGGUAGGCAUCGUUGGGGAAUAUUGGACAAGGGGCGAAAGCCUGGUCCAGCCAUGCCGGGUGUGUGAAGAAGGUCUUCGGAUUGUAAAGCACUUUAAGUUGGGAGGGGGUACCAACAGAAUAAGCACCGGCUAACUUCGUGCCAGCAGCCGCGGUAAUAC